UCACCUUAAUCUUUCAUUUUCCUUUUUCAGUUAGCAUCAAAGUUCCCACAACAAAGUCCAAUAUGGAGGACGGACUAGGUCUACAUAGUUAUGAAAAAGUCUCUCUCUAUAUAGAUAUACACAUCCUAAUUGUCAAAUCCUAAGCAACUUGAUCAUCUAACCAAACAGCCUCCCUGCCAUUUGUGUAUAUGAAUCUAGCUUCUAAAGUACAUGGUAUUGAUUCUCCAAAGCUUUGUGCCAUAACAUGGGAUUCCUGCAUCAAGAACUCAACCUGAAAUGCCUGCUGCUGCUGCUCAUCUUACACUUUUGCACUCUAAACGUCUCAGCAGAGACACAGGCACUCACCAGUAAAGCUCUUGAUCUGUAUAGCAUAUCAAGUCAUUGGCAGAACAAACCAACAAGCUGGGUAGGUUCUGAUCCUUGUGGUAAUAACUGGGUUGGACUCAACUGUUCUAAUCUUCACAUCAAAAAAAUAAUUCUUCCUGGCUUAAACAUCAAAGGGACUCUCUCUGAAGACAUCCAGAAUUUGAUUGAGUUGGUGCACUUGUAUGUUAUCUGAUAAAUCAAAUGUUACAAUUAUUUUCCUUUCCUUUUUCAUCCCUUUACAUGUUGCAAAAGGUGAAAUCCCUUGCGGCCUCCCAUGAUUGUUCCACCUCAUUGGGAUUGAGUAAAUUUAGUACCGAGCAGGUCCCCAUGUGAGAGGGUAUUUUUUACCGGCUUUGCCAGGAUUCGACUCUUGCUCCAUGUUGCAAAUCUAUCACAUGGUUACCGGCUCGGCAACGCCCUGGGGCCUUUUCAUCGCUCUACAAGUCCUUAUGAAACUAUGAACUUAAGAAUUAUGGCACUAGGGAUCUGUCUUCCAAUAAAGGUUUGGGUGGGCAAAUUCCAAGAACCAUUGAGAGUCUGGUGAAGCUUCAAAGGAUCCUUCAGUGGUUCCAUUCCACCAGAGUUAGGCAUGUUGGAAAGCCUCAGCUUCCUGUAAGAUCAAAAUCUUUUUGCUCAAAGUAGGAUAAUUUAGCUUGAUAUUCUAAAUCUCUGUGAUUCUUCAGAUCAGUGGACUCUAACCGGUAGAACACAUAUUUAUUAAAACACAUUUA